AACGAACGCUGGCGGCGUGGAUAAGACAUGCAAGUCGAACGGGAUUUUACGGGUAGCAAUACUUUGUAAGAUUUAGUGGCGAACGGGUGCGUAACACGUGAGUAAUCUGCCGAGAAGUGGGGGAUAGCUCGCCGAAAGGCGAAUUAAUACCGCAUGUGACUAGCGAGGACAUCCUCGCAACGUUAAAGCCGCAAGGCGCUUCUUGAUGAGCUCGCGGCCUAUCAGCUAGUUGGUGAGGUAACGGCUCACCAAGGCGAUGACGGGUAGCUGGUCUGAGAGGACGACCAGCCACACUGGAACUGAGACACGGUCCAGACACCUACGGGUGGCAGCAGUCGAGAAUUUUUUCACAAUGGGGGAAACCCGUGAUGGAGCGACGCCGCGUGGAGGAUGAAGGCCCUUCGGGUUGUAACUCCUGUCAUAAGAGAACAAGAAAGUGAUAGUAUCUUAAGAGGAAGAGACGGCUAACUCUGUG
rnacentral:rRNA from 1 species